rfam:Triticum aestivum genome assembly, contig: Triticum_aestivum_CS42_TGACv1_scaffold_030379_1BL
AUAAUACUUCCUCCGUCCGGAAAUACUUGUCAUUGAAAUGGAUGUAUCUAGAUGUAUUUUAGUUCUAGAUACAUCCAUUUUCAUCCAUUUUGAUGACAAGUAUUUUCGGACGAAGUCGGACGGAGGGAGUACCAA